rnacentral:rRNA from 1 species
UACAGAGGUCUCAAGCGUUGUUCGGAUUCAUUGGGCGUAAAGGGUGCGUAGGCGGCGCGGUAAGUCGGGUGUGAAAUCUUGGAGCUUAACUCCGAAACUGCAUUCGAUACUGCUUUGCUAGAGGACUGGAGAGGAGAUUGGAAUUCACGGUGUAGCAGUGAAAUGCGUAGAGAUCGUGAGGAAGACCAGUGGCGAAGGCGGAUCUCUGGACAGUUCCUGACGCUGAGGCGCGAAGGCCAGGGGAGCAAACGGG